AGCGAACGCUGGCGGCAGGCCUAAUACAUGCAAGUCGAGCGCACCUUCGGGUGAGCGGCGGACGGGUGAGUAACGCGUGGGAACGUGCCCUUUGGUACGGGAUAACUGAGGGAAACUUCAGCUAAUACCGUAUGUGCCCUACGGGGGAAAGAUUUAUCGCCAUUGGAGCGGCCCGCGUUGGAUUAGGUAGUUGGUGAGGUAAAGGCUCACCAAGCCUACGAUCCAUAGCUGGUCUGAGAGGAUGAUCAGCCACACUGGGACUGAGACACGGCCCAGACUCCUACGGGAGGCAGCAGUAGGGAAUCUUGCGCAAUGGGCGAAAGCUUGACGCAGCCAUGCCGCGUGAAUGAUGAAGGUCUUAGGAUUGUAAAAUUCUUUCACCGGGGAAGAUAAUGACGGUACCCGGAGAAGAAGCCCCGGCUAACUCCGUGCCAGCCGCCGCAGUAACAC
rnacentral:rRNA from 1 species